AUUCUUUUGUAGUUCAUAAAUGUGAUGAUUAGGUUUUCCAUGCGCAUGCAUGAGAUGUGCCACCCACAAAUCUUGUUAUGAUGGGCGGCGCCUAUGGCU